GCAGCUCGUUGUUCGACAGGACCCGAUAGAGGAAGUCAAUGUACCUGGGGAUUAGAGAGAAAGUGAAGAAUGGAAGCAUCUCCAAGGCAACAACGAAACGCGGGAAAGAUUCCCCAUCGGCUUCAACGGUCGAAAUAACAACGGUGCGGGAUUUAGCUACUAUUUUAUGAUGUCAUCGCGGAUUCCUCCAGUCAGACAGGCUUAGCUACUAUAGUCAGUGGCAGGAGAAAAUGUUCCCACCGAAAAUAUAUAAUCUUCGACGGAGACGCGGCUUUGUUGACCUUACGUCAUCGCCUUCGCCAUUUUGACGGGUUGUUGAUGUGUGUUUUCCGUAUUUUUUUAUUAUUAUUUGUACGAGAGAUGGAUUACGUGGUAAUGCUAACCUAAUAGGUAUAAUAUUUUGCUUGUAUAGUCUAUUCUUUAUAUCUCGAUAUUGAAUGACCAUCGAAA